GGGAAACUCACCAGGUCCAGACACAGUGAGGAUUGACAGGUUGAGAGCUCUUUCUUGAUUCUGUGGUGGUGGUGCAUGGCCGUUCUUAGUUGGUGGAGUGAUUUGUCUGCUURAUUGCGAUAACGAACGAGACCUUAACCUGCUAAAUAGCCCGUACUGCUCUGGCAGUUCGCUGGCUUCUUAGAGGGACUAUCGGCUCAAGCCGAUGGAAGUUUGAGGCAAUAACAGGUCUGUGAUGCCCUUAGAUGUCCUGGGCCGCACGCGCGUUACACUGACAGGGCCAGCGAGUACCUCCUUGGCCGAAAGGCCCGGGUAAUCUUGUUAAACCCUGUCGUGCUGGGGAUAGAGCAUGCAAUUAUUGCUCUUCAACGAGGAAUCCCUAGUAAGCGCAAGUCAUCAGCUUGCGUUGAUUACGUCCCUGCCCUUUGUACACACCGCCCGUCGCUACUACCGAUUGAAUGGCUCA
rnacentral:rRNA from 1 species